rnacentral:rRNA from 1 species
UACGGAGGGGGCAAGCGUUAUUCGGAAUUAUUGGGCGUAAAGAGCUCGUAGGCGGUGUGUCGCGUCGGCCGUGAAAACCUGGGGCUCAACUCUGGGCGUGCGGUCGAUACGGGCAUCACUUGAGUUCGGCAGGGGAGACUGGAAUUCCUGGUGUAGCGGUGAAAUGCGCAGAUAUCAGGAGGAACACCGGUGGCGAAGGCGGGUCUCUGGGCCGAUACUGACGCUGAGGAGCGAAAGCAUGGGUAGCGAACAGG